UACGGAGGGUGCAAGCGUUGUCCGGAAUCACCGGGCGUAAAGGGCGCGUAGGCGGCUCAUGAAGGCUGUGGUGAAAGUCCGGGGCUCAACCUCGGAUCGGCCGUGGCGACUCGUGGGCUGGAGCACUGUAGAGGCGGGUGGAAUUCCGGGUGUAGCGGUGGAAUGCGUAGAGAUCCGGAAGAACACCAGUGGCGAAGGCGGCCCGCUGGGCAGUGGCUGACGCUGAGGCGCGACAGCGUGGGGAGCAAACAGG
rnacentral:rRNA from 1 species